GGUGCUUGCAUCAUGAUUUACAUUUGAGUGAGUGGCGAACUGGUGAGUAACACGUGGGAAACCUGCCCAGAAGCGGGGGAUAACACCUGGAAACAGAUGCUAAUACCGCAUAACAACUUGGACCGCAUGGUCCGAGUUGAAAGAUGGCUUCGGCUAUCACUUUUGGAUGGUCCCGCGGCGUAUUAGCUAGAUGGUGGUAACGGCUCACCAUGGCAAUGAUACGUAGCCGACCUGAGAGGGUAAUCGGCCACAUUGGGACUGAGACACGGCCCAAACUCCUACGGGAGGCAGCAGUAGGGAAUCUUCCACAAUGGACGAAAGUCUGAUGGAGCAACGCCGCGUGAGUGAAGAAGGGUUUCGGCUCGUAAAACUCUGUUGUUAAAGAAGAACAUAUCUGAGAGUAACUGUUCAGGUAUUGACGGUAUUUAACCAGAAAGCCACGGCUAACUACGUGCCAGCAGCCGCGGUAAUACGUAGGUGGCAAGCGUUGUCCGGAUUUAUUGGGCGUAAAGCGAGCGCAGGCGGUUUUUUAAGUCUGAUGUGAAAGCCUUCAGCUCA
rnacentral:rRNA from 1 species